rnacentral:ncRNA from 1 species
UCUGAAAAGACAGUACGGCGAAGCUACCAUCUGCUGGAUUACGGCUGAACGCCUCUAAGCCGGAAUCCAUGCUGGAUAAGCAGUGUUGUACACCGUGCUCAAUGCUACAAGAAAAAGGCUAGGUCAGGGCUUCGGCCUGACCAAAAUUCAAGCUGCUAUACCUCUGGCUGCAUUGACUUGUGGUCAGAGUGUAUGGUGAUCAUAGCAAUUGCAAGUAUUGGGCUCGAUAAAUCCUUUGAAGACGACUUAAUUGCAUCCGGGUAUUGUAAGUGUUGAGAGUAGGCUUAGUCUUACGAUCCACUGAGAUUCAUCCCGUGUUGCGCCGAUUUGU